AAAUUUACUUAUGCUUUAUUCUUCUCACACUUUACUACAUACAUUUUAUCCUCUUUAAAUCUCAUUAUGCCAUUUUACCCUCUUUAAACAUCACUGUAUAUUAAAAUCACGAUUGAAGCAGCUGAAGCAGAAAUCAGUUAAUUUUUAAAUUUUUUUUGUUAAUUAUUGUUAUUUACAAUACUUUUUAUUUCAAAUAUCUAUGAACUUAGCUUGGACUUAAUCCGCAUUCGCCUCUGUAGCUCUUCUAUAAGAGUGGACCUUUUUCUUUCCAAAUAAUAUAUGUUGCUUUAUAUCUUCUUCUGUUUUGUCCCAAUUUAUGUGGCACUAAUAUAAUUUUGAUAGUCAAUCA
rnacentral:lncRNA from 1 species